GUACCUGGGACGAGAAUGGUUACGCAAAACGAGCGUCCCAAAAAAGGAUUAAGUGUCUAAUAUCGAUACGGACCAAAUAAAUUUUUACCACUCAACCCCUAAACGAUCAAAUCAAAAAGUUUUUUGGCCGAUUGCUUCGUGUGACAUUUGAAUAUGUUGAAUUUGGGUUAGGUACAAUUGGAAGGAUGAGUAUUAGGUUAACGAUUGAGCUUUAUUGUAUUCGAUUUUUUUUGCAGCCGUUAUCGAAGAGGCUUGAGCUAAAAAUUAAAAUACUAAUAAAUUAAAAGAAUUCUAAAUAAAACUUUUUAUUUUAAAUAUCUAAACUUUUUGAAUGUAGUCACAACCUAAAGUAUUAACUUUACCUGAUGUUACUUUUGGGUUCUUGUUCUUCAGGAUUCUUCACACGAUAAAAAACGAAGGGUUCAAAAUCGAAAAAUGUCCGCAACGUAAUUUUAUAAUGUAAUAUAUGCCAUAUGCCGCCAGGUAAAUUCAGUAUAACGGGCGAUUGCAUUGUAUUAACCCUUUUUUACGUCUAUUUGGGGACCCGGAAGGAAGAAAGGGCUCGACGCAGGUAGACGCAGUCUUUUUACCAUCGCAUUAGCGGCCCUGCACGGUUUAAAAUUGAAUAUUACUUUUCAGUCUACGCUCGCACUUUCAUCCAGUCGUAUCUUGAUCUUCACGUUUUUAACUUGACUCAAUCAGAUUGUGUAUGUGACUUUCGAGUGGUUUCAAGUAUUUUUCAGAUAUCUAUCUUUAAAGUGAGAAGGGGAACCUCUCAAAAGGUACGGUCAACCCUUUGCCGACCUCCCGGUAAUUUUGAACAAUCCGAGUGCGACGAAGAAGGACGACAUCUUCGACUAACUCCCAGAACUUUGACCGUGAAGGAAAAGGGUACUCCCUGUUAAAUAAUUGCAAGGCACUGUGACCUCCAGAGACUUGUGAGGGAUGAUGGUACACGAGUAAGCUGCUAAUAUUACCCGGUAAGGCUUUUGCCGGAGGAGCCGGAACGAGAACGAACGCGACGGAAGAGGGUUGAAACCUUGCGAGGAAGAACCAAGGGUCGCGAGUUUUUAAUGGUUCCCCAACGACGACGGAGUUGAAGCCCUUCCUUUAAUGACGAUCCGACUUCGACGUCGACGUCACGACGCCGCAGGCCCCCAAUGUCCUAGCUUUCGCAGCAGCCGGUAUGCUAAUGGCCCUAGGAGCUGUUGAAAAACCCUGAAAACUUCAACCGGGAGCUCAGUGUUAAUUUCGUCCUGAAACCGAGCGGUGUUUCGCGAUGACCUACUUUUUAAACCUACUUUUUCAAGAAAUUUUUCACUACAGAAAAAUAUUUUCCCCAAAACCUAUGAGAUUUUUUUUUAAAUUUUAUUUCCGUUAUUUUUUGUAUAUUAUGUGUUCGGCGGGGUUGAAAUUGACCGAUGAAAGUGACCGUUGGCCGGUUCUGGCCAAUCAAAUCGGGGUACAUAAACGAAGGGAUACCGCCCCUAAAGUCCUUUCGAGGUUCUCCCUCCGGCGUCAAAGCGCAUAUGGAGGGGUGAAAAUCCCCCGAGUCCUGCAGGAACGAUCCUGACCCGUGUCCGAUGACGUCGCAUCAAGAUUGGAUGUUGGCGCGACCGAGUGUUGGGUUGGUAUUUUAAUUAAAUGUCAGAAAGUAAGUGUACGAAGGGGAGAAAAUGUAUUAUAUGACAGUCAAGAAAAAAAAAUAAUAGUAUGUUAUUCUUCGUUAUAUAAGAAUGUAAAGUUUUAUUUGCAUAUAUGUAGGGUAUAAUCUCGAUAUAACGGACUAAUACGGGGAAGUGUACGUUAGAACCAAAAGUCCGUUAUACGAAAAAUUUUUAAUUUGCACUUCAAUUCGAACUGCUAUCCACACCGUUGCGUUAUGUAUUAGUUUGUUCUACUUUUUGUUUAAUAAAAAUAUACAACAAUCAAGCACUGAA